GAUGAACGCUAGCGGCAGGCCUAACACAUGCAAGUCGAGGGGUAGAGGAAGCUUGCUUCCUUGAGACCGGCGCACGGGUGCGUAACGCGUAUGCAAUCUACCUUGUACAGAGGGAUAGCCCAGAGAAAUUUGGAUUAAUACCUCAUAGUAUUAUUGAAUGGCAUCAUUUAAUAAUUAAAGUUCCAACGGUACAAGAUGAGCAUGCGUCCUAUUAGCUAGUUGGUGUGGUAACGGCAUACCAAGGCUACGAUAGGUAGGGGUCCUGAGAGGGAGAUCCCCCACACUGGUACUGAGACACGGACCAGACUCCUACGGGAGGCAGCAGUGAGAAAUAUUGGACAAUGGGCGCAAGCCUGAUCCAGCCAUGCCGCGUGCAGGAAGACGCAUCUAUGGUGUGUAAACUGCUUUUGUACGGGAAGAAACACUCCCUCGUGAGGGUGCUUGACGGUACCGUAAGAAUAAGGAUCGGCUAACUCCGUGCCAGCCGCCGCAGUAACAC
rnacentral:rRNA from 1 species